rnacentral:lncRNA from 1 species
GUGAAUGAACCACUUGAAAGUAUAUGAUAUCCAAUGUUCUUGGUUUAGAUGGGAAUAGCAUGGCAAAAGGUAUGUUUUUAUUUAUUAUUAUAUUAAAUGUCAAUCUUUUUGUUAUUAUUUGCAUUUGGGCAGUGUUUUAUGAGCUUUGUGCAGUGUUUGUGUAAAUGAGGGUCUGAUAGUACGUGUCUUGGUGGCGCCUUUGUUCGGUCUUAGUUCAAUGGUUGGAUGGCUGAUGAAUCUAGGCGUUGUUUUGCCUAUUUUCUUUAAUGCUUCAAGGUAUAUUCAUUAUGAGGGUGCUAAGGUUUAAACCAAGCGUCUGCUACGUAUUGAAGAGGACCACUUAAGGAAAAAAAUGAGCUAAAAGCUUUACGAAAAGAUUUUGAAGGCCAGUGAGCAACUUUGAAGCUACGGUGUGAAAUAUUAUGAAAAGGCUAC